GACAGAGGGUGCAAGCGUUGUUCGGAAUCAUUGGGCGUAAAGCGCACGUAGGCGGCCUUGUAAGUCAGAUGUGAAAGCCCUGGGCUCAACCCAGGAAGUGCAUCUGAUACUGCAAGACUUGAGUCCCGGAGAGGGUGGUGGAAUUCCUGGUGUAGAGGUGAAAUUCGUAGAUAUCAGGAGGAACACCGGUGGCGAAGGCGACCACCUGGACGGAGACUGACGCUGAGGUGCGAAAGCGUGGGGAGCAAACAGG
rnacentral:rRNA from 1 species